GAUGAACGCUAGCGGGAGGCUUAACACAUGCAAGUCGAGGGGCAGCAUAGGGUAGCAAUACUCUGAUGGCGACCGGCAAACGGGUGAGUAACGCGUAUGCAACCUACCCUGUACAGGGGGAUAACCCGGAGAAAUUCGGACUAAUAUCCCGUAAUAAUAUCCGGAGGCAUCUUUGGAUAUUUAAAGUUUCGACGGUACGGGAUGGGCAUGCGUAACAUUAGCUGGUUGGUAAGGUAACGGCUUACCAAGGCUAUGAUGUUUAGGGGUCCUGAGAGGGUGGUCCCCCACACUGGUACUGAGACACGGACCAGACUCCUACAGGAGGCAGCAGUGAGGAAUAUUGGUCAAUGGGCGCAAGCCUGAACCAGCCAUCCCGCGUGCAGGAAGACGGCCCUAGUGGGUUGUAAACUGCUUUUCCAGGGAGAGAAACUUACGCACGUGUUGCGUGACUGACGGUACCUGGGAAUAAGCAUCGGCUAACUCCGUGCCAGCAGCCGACGGUAAAGUGUGUGUACG
rnacentral:rRNA from 1 species